rnacentral:rRNA from 1 species
UACGUAGGGUGCAAGCGUUGUUCGGAAUCACUGGGCGUAAAGAGAGCGUAGGCGGGAUUGUAAGUUAGGAGUUUAAUACAUGGGCUUAACCCGUGGUCUGCUCUUAAUACUGCGGUUCUUGAGUAUGGGAGAGGGCGAUGGAAUUCCAGGUGUAGCGGUGGAAUGCGUAGAUAUCUGGAAGAACACCAGUAGCGAAGGCGGUCGCCUGGCCUAAUACUGACGCUGAGGCUCGAAAGCUAGGGGAGCAAAC